rnacentral:lncRNA from 1 species
UAAACGAUCUCGUUCAGAAAAUUAGCAAAGGAAAAUGCAGCGCUAGUACAAAUCCUAAUAUUGGUGUUGUAUCAUCUCCCUCCGAGUCAUGUGAAGUCAUAUCUGGAGUAAUCGACGAAUCAGCAGCAACUAAUAAUACUCACAAGCAACAGAAGAAAAAAAAGUCGAUUCGUAGGGCAAUAUUUCAUCCAGUUGUUGCAAAGGAAUCAAGGACAGAAGCAAGGGCAAGGGCAAGGGAAAGAACAAAAAUAAAGAAAAGCCUAAAUAAUAAUAAUGGUGAUCAAUCCAUGGCGCCUGAUGAGGAUUUAACAAGAUCAUUAGGAUCUUGGAGUACUACAUUUGAAGAUCAUCAAUCAGGUAUUCAAGCCUAUAAUAAUACUAACAAUAUUAUGAAUGCUGUUGAUAACUUUAAUUUGGUGGAUACUAGCAAUUGGAGCCCAUUUAUGUUCAACUAUCACCAAAUCAAUACUGAAAUUUCUCAGGAGGUAUGUAUUAACUUAAUUAGAUUAUUAUUAUUAUUAUUAUUAAUCCGAUCGCCAAAUAUUUAUUUUUAUUUUUAUUCUUCUGUUGCAGCAUCAAUUGACAAACUUCCAGUAUCCUGGCAAGUUAUGGGAAGCUUAAUUAGGGCAAGGAAGUUCUACUUAAGCUUGUUGAUUUAGUGCAACUUCAGAAGAAGGCUAUUUGGUCAUGUUGGUAAUGUAAAAUGAAUUUGUCUAUUUUAUUAUUGAGUGUAUUCCAUGAAAAACAACUUGUAUUUUUCUUAUAAAUAAGCUCAUCUUUUUCUUUCAAGUCAUUUUCAAUAACAAAAGGAAACUAGACUUAUGUCCAUUAAUAAUUAAUCAUUAAAGAUGGGAACAUUAAUCCACUAAUUGAUAAGUAGUUCCAUUCUUUGACAGUUUACCAUUUAAUCAUCAAAUUGACUUUAUGUCAAAAUCCAAAUAUUAUCAUAAAAAAGUGAAGACUUCUUAUAAAAGUCCUAGAUCACACAAUAUCUUUGUAGUAUUUUUUGGAGGUAAGGUUCGAUCCCCUCGUAUAACCUAUACUUUUGAUGAAAUACAACACCAAGACAUAUAUGCCUAACUAAGAAAAAAGAACAAAGAUAUUGUUAACUAAGGUUUCUCUUAUAUCUUAUUGAUUCUAAACAUCUCAUAUAUAUUCAACAUAUAAUUAACUUAAUUUCAUAAAGUCAAAAUUCUUCUAUAGAUAAUGUUUGGAUAACUGUCCACUCAUAUAUAUAAUAAUAAUAAUAAUAUAUAUAUAUAUAUUCUGAUCAUGAAGUUUCAAAAGGAUUCCAAAACUAUUAUUUGCAUGAUAAGAUGCCACACAUAUAGAACAAAUUAAUAUAUUUAGCUUGUUGCAAUUGCAGUAGUAAAAAUUAAGAUUCGAAAAUAUUAUACAAUCCAAAAUUGUAACUUCUUUAUUAAAUCUUAAUAUUAAUGAGAAACAGCAUGUAUUAAUUAGCGGAAACAUAGGGAAAAUGAGCUUGAGGUGAGAUUAGAUGGAAUUUAGUUGCCAGAAGUAACCAAGAAACUACUCGACCUAGUACAUCUGUAAUAGUGACAAUGAUAAUAUUGAACUACGAAUGAUUCAGAUAACUAGGCUUAAUGUUCAAGGAGAAUGAUAUAAUAGAUAAAAAAUAUGACACAUAAAAUCAAAAUAGUAAGGAUGAUUGAAACAAAACAAGAGAAGUGCUACUGGUGUGUUAUGUGAUAGAAGUGGUAUCUUACCAAAGUGAUGAAAGUCAAGCUCUACAUACAAUAGCAUUAAAAUCAACAAAAUUGUAUAUAUAGGAGUUAAUGCUUGGCCUCUAAAGUCAAACAUAUCCAUAAAAUUAGCAUCAUAGAUCAAUAUGAAUUCUGUGAUGGAUGUAUUGUCAUAGAAGAUUGGACAAAAUAAAAGGUGAUCAAACCACAUUAGAUAGAAGGUGCAAGUAGCUAGCUAGUACACAUAAGAUAAAAUGAGAAGAUCGCUUGAGAUGAGCCUGAAAGUGUGAGAGUGUUAAAGAGGACGAGGUAGAACUAAAAUCACAUUGAAGGUAUUAGUCUUGAAAGACCUACAAUCUCUUUGAAUCCAUAAUAGUGAAAGAAAGAUCUCUAUAUAUAGGCGAUACCAAGUAGUUGGAAUUAAUUAGUUCUAGUCAUGUUAGUAUACUAAGUCCAAUAUUUGCUCUAUAAAUAUGAGUCUACUAGACUUGUUAGUUAUGUAUAUGUUAGUAAUAGUGAAGAGAACUUCUACAGCUAGUAAACUAGGUUUUAUAACAUUGAAUUGAUCAGAUGAGCUUAAAUGAAGCGACAUACAUAUAUAGUAAGGGUUCAUAUGGUAUAUCUCAACUUAUUUGAAACUGAGGCAUAACACCAUACAGAUUUAACAAAGUCUAUAGUUUAAUAUUAACGUAAUUCAUUGAGAGUUGGCGUAGAAAAUAGAGGCCUUAAAAGAUCUUGUUUUCAUGAAAUCAAUCAAAUAAUUCUCCAUAUCAACAUCUGAUGUAUGCUAGUGCAGGAAUUUUAAAUCAUCAGUCAUAUUAAUCCUUCAUUAGUUAUUCCUUGUUUCUUGCCUUUGUAUGGCAAAUCAAAAGGAAUAAAAUGAUACUGGUAACUAUUAUAGCACUUGUUAAUUAGUUAUAUCAUUCCAUUAACUAAGUGGAUGAAAAGACAAAUUUAUUAGGUGUAUCAAAGUAGUUUGAGAUGAAUGGUCAUAAAUAUGGCAUCGUUUCCAGAAUCAUUACUAUGAUCCUAGCAUAGCAUAUCCCUCUACACUGAUUUGAGUGCCAAGAGAUUCUCUUGUUUUAGUAAUUGUGCAUUAAUUCUGAGUUUUCUGAUAAAAGAAAUCAAUCUUGGACCUAUUUCAACCCUAAAAGUUAGCUCGUGAUUAGGGGGAGAUUGUCCAAGACUGUAUAAAGAGACCGCACGUCAAUCCCAUUUUCAUCCGACAUGCAUGUGAAUCUUCAACACCCCACUUCCCAACAUCGGUAAAUAAGAAGGGAGAUGGGUCCUGCUUUAAUACUAUGAAAAAGAAAUGGAUCUUAAGUCUAACUCAACCUAGGUUGCCCUAGACCAUAUAAGGGAUCCCUUUUUCAUCCGAUGUGAAACGGUCUUCAAUACUUUCAGGGUCAUUUGUUUGGGAACAAGUUAUCCUAGGAUUAAUUAUUCUGGGGUUAACUAUCUUGGAUAACUUAUCCCACCAUGUAUAUGUGAUAACUUAUACCGUUACACUAUGAUAUAAAUGAUGGGAUAAGUUAUCUCAAACAUGACAUCAAAAUUUUAUCCCUGGACUGUUUAUUUUUAUCAUUCACGCCAAACAACGUAACCCUUGAUUGACAAAACUUUUCAAUUCUACAAAAUUAAGGUUUAGUCAAAAAAGUCAGAGAAGAGGAUAAUGUUGUAAUAUUGAGGGAUGAUUUACUAGGUUACAUUCACAGUAUUUGAUCUUUACUAAUAAUAAGUCACAUCUGAUCUGAUCAGUGACACACCAAUUAAUGUCCUAAUAGUAACUUUUCCACUAUUUCAAGACGUAAUUUAAAUUUCAGGUACAAGACAAAUAAUUAAGAUAAUGCCGACUACUUCAAUAAUUAUGAUUUACUAGUACCAAAUGAUUUACUUUCAAGAAAGAAUUUCCCAACACUAGUUUUUGAUUCAUUAGAUGCAUAAAGGCUACUGAUCUCCCAUAAAUGCGCGCAAUAUAAAGAGUAUGAUAAAUAAGGGGUGUUUCAUUACAUAAAAAAUGACCUUUAGAGAUAAUUAAUUAACGAUAAUAGCUUAAUUGCCGCUAAAUAUGUAUUGUCCCUAAAGCCUAUAGGGACAUUGAAUCCAAUGACAAUUAACUAAUGCAGGUAAGAGUUUUAAUACUCUUUGUUAAUGUGCAUAUUUAUUUUCGUUAAAAGCUGUUUUUACUUUUUAUUGUAGUGUUCAUUGAUAUAGGAUGUAUAGUUGUAUACUAUUGAAUCAAUUAUGUCAUUGACUAAUCUAGGCAAAACAAGAUGUUAGAGAAAUAUGGAUAUGGUAGGGGUCUUGCCAAAGCCCCCCCAUCACACAGGAGGUGAACACUUCUGUGCGAAUGGUUUUUUGGUAUAAAAAAAAAAAGAUGUUAGAGAAAUUAAAGGCAUCAAAUUGGAAUAAUUUCUUCAAUUUUCUUAAUAUCAUAGUUUAAAUUGAUUAACAUGAAAGGUUUAUGUCCUCCUCCGUACAUGGACUUUGGGAUGGAUAGGGGUCAUGUCAAACCCCCACACCACCUCCGGUUAAUAUAGCACUCAUAAAAGGUUAUUAAUAGAUGAGGAUAAACAUAUGGGUGGCUUUGAGAACCAAGAAAUAAAGGUAGUGACUUAUAUAUAGUACCUGAAAAUGAUUCCUUAAUGAGCAUAAAAGGUUAAAAGAAGAAAGUUACUAAGAAAUAAAAGGAGAAAGGUAAUGGAUAGGUUAAAUGAACCAAAAAAGGAGAAGCACAAAAGUGGGGAACAAGAAAUUAAAUAAAACAUAUCCUCAUAGGUGACAUUCCCAAAUGAUUUAUCUUUUAUUUUUUUUGUGACCAACAUUUUUUUAUUCCUAAGUUUCUCCUCAAAUAUGUAGAAAAUAUGCAUAUAAUUAGACCUGAAGAGAAUUAAUUAGGAUCUAAUUAAUUUGUCACAUCUUCUUGUAGCUUUGUUAAAAUUGCAAGGUUUCUUUAGUUUACUAAUGUAAUUAAGUACACUAGAUAUAUCCCCAAAAGAGGAUGUGAUGCGGUGGAUAAGGUUACUCCUCCAUCAAAUAAAUGUUUCAGUUUCAAGCCCAAGAUAUGAAAGAAUUCCAGGUAGAGAGUGCUACCCCUGAAUCGACCUUACCCAGAUUCGAGUUUCAUUAUGAGUAUCGAACACGGAAUGAAAAAGCAAAAAAAAAAGAAGUACUUACAUAAACUAAAAAUCAGGAUUGAUUUUAAUUAUAUAUAAACAAAUAAUUAAUCUAACCUAAUUGUAAUUAUACUAUAUAUCUCUAUAUAUAAUCUAUAUAAAGCAUGUUACAACAAAUAUACAAAGCAUUAGCAUUUGGAUCUUGAGGAGUGCUUCUCUCUACCAAAAUAAGUGUUAUCUUAGCAAAAAUCAUGUUUAUUAAGAACUUAAUAACUAUAAUGUGUAGUUUAUAAAACUAUUCGGAUUUAAUAAAUGUUUUUUUUUGAAAGUUGAACAUUUUUAAGGAUAUGAAAUUUAAAAAUAUAGUUGAAAAAAAAUACUAUUUUUUAUCUUAAAUUUUUAAGAUAAAACUUAUUUCGGGACAACAUUAUUUUAUUAACGAGACACUUAUUUUAAGACAGCAAGAGUAUCAAUUUACUUAAAUGAUCGUAUAUAUAUAAACCAAGUGAUUUAAUUUAAGUCAUUGAGAGAGUUGUAUAUAUUUCCCAUCCACCUUUAUUCCCUUUAUAGUUAAGUUUUGAUUUGCGGAUGUGGAGACAAGAUAAAAGUAAAAUUUUCAUUAUUUAAAACUUGUUAUUAUAUGUAAGACAGUAGAUAUUUAUUUUAAAUGAUUAUUGCAUAUAAUUUUACAUAGAUUUUUUUUGAUUCAUGGGUUUUUAUAUUACAAUUAUCAAAUUCAUGUCAAUCAUCAUAUAUUUUAGUUGCAACAUAAGAUUUGUUGAGUUAAAUUUUGUUUAAAAACACACUUUUCCUUUCUUCUUUAUAAGUGACUAUAAAUAGUCAAAUAUUACACCCUCGUUUUUAGUUUAUUUAUUUUAAUUUAACUGAAUACAAAAAUUAAGGAAAUAAAGAAGUUUUUUCAAAUUUAAUAUUUUUAAACUAAAGAUACAUAAUAUAUCAAAAUGUAUUUUAAACUUACUAUCAUAAACACAUGUCACAUUAAAUAUUGAAAUUCAAAAGUUAUCAAAUUAAUUAGUUUUUUUUUUAAAUGGACUGUAAAAAAGUAAAACUGAAAGAGACAUGUUUUUUAUUACAUUAUAUAAUUUUCUCCAAUCAAAACAUAUGAUGAGUGUUCUACAAUCCACACAUGACACUUGGAAAGAAUCCAGGUUGAGUCCAAGUGACCAAAGACUCAGAGUCUCAAACACAACCGUCUAUUGAUUAAUAUUAUCGAUGUGAAAUAUCACAUGUAAAAUUUAUUUUUAUAAAUGAUGAUAUAUGUUACUAUUGCAGGCCCCUCUCUGCUUAUGCACUUCGUCUUGCUCUCCUCGUGGAAAAUAUAAAUUUAGAUCGAAUGUAAUAGCUUUAAUUUAAAUAGUAUGCUUAUUAUGAUAUUUUAGUUUCAUAUUAUUUUGAAUUUUGAAUUUAGAAUACACUUCUACCGUUGUACUUUCCACCGACCUAAAUAUGGUAAAGUAAAUCCUAGUAAUAGCAGUAAUAUUUGACUUGGAAGAACUUUACAGACAUGAUAUGGAUUCUAAAAUCCAAUUACUUGGUUUAAUUAGCUGGAGUUGGAAAUUACUAUUAAUUUUAUUUUUUUAAAUCCCAAUAAAAUUCACCUUCUUUAAAGGAGGCAUUAGUGAAGAUUCCAAUUUCUCAAUACUUAGAUUUAAAAAAAUAAAUAAAGUGAACAUAUAUAUGAUGCUAAGAAUUUUUUAUUUAGAAAAAAAUUGAAUUAAAAGCAAGAAGCAUGAUAGUGUCGCAUUUAGAGGCAGACCCACAUGGAAGAAGCACAUAUACCAAUUGACUUCAACAAAAAAGCAUCCCUCAAGGGCACGCAAUCCAAGUUGUGAUUUUAAACAGACAACCUAACGUAUGCAAAGUGAUGCUCAAACCACGCGUCCACUAGGUGAGCUUCAUCCAACUAUGCCCUUCUAUUUAAAUUUUUAUGUUAGUAUACAUCAGUUCUAUGGGUACCUUAAUAAAAUCUUCAUACAAGCAUCUUCAACUAACGUGCAUCUGCUUUUAGGUAUGUCUAAUUAUCUUUAAAUUUUGGAUCCGCCUUUUUGAAACCACCCAAGUGGUAAAUGACCAUAGUACAGAGUACAGAGCAUAUUUGCAGUCAAAAUUAAUGAAUUGUGGGAAAGAAGAGGAGUGUAUGUUUCUCAGUGUACUAUCCGACCCACGGCGACAAAAUUUUGAACCUAUGGUGGCCCGGGCAUACCAUAUUUGGUCCCCCAUCCUAUAAGGUGGAAUUAGCUUAGCUGCAGGCACCUACAGCACAAAUUUAGGGUUUUUGACCUAUCAUAUUGCUUCUUCCUCACUAGGGUUUCUGUAUAUACACGUGCUCUACCUGCACCCUCUUUGUACCAUGAACUUCUCUGAUAUUUUCUUCUAACCCUAGAAGAAAGAUAAAACUAGGGCUCAGAUUCCAUGGGGAAGGGUGAAAAUGGAAUAAAUGCCUAAAGCAUUUCAGAUCCGUUUGACACUAACAUGAGUUGUGAUGGGAUAAUUGAGAUCCAAAAUUUAAAAUUGAAUCUAUCUCGCUCCAAUACAGAUAUUGGACAGUAUUGGUGUAAAAGGUAAAGGAGGAGCAUCUGAAACUGUAAUUGGAGAAAAAAAGAACCCUGAAAAUAUAUGCCUAUAGAAUUUAAUUUGGAACUCUAUUUUUCUGAUGUGAUGAGAAAAAAACAAGAAAGAAUCAGAUGCUAAACUAUGCUACAGAUGAUAGAUAAGUUCAUCUAAUUAAUUAGAGUACCAUUUUUUGGUUCUGCUAAUUUGAAGCCGCCUGAAGAACCCUAACCUGAGAGAGCGCCGCGCCUGGGGAGAGGCUACAUACAAAAAUGACCGGCUCGGCUGCAAAACCAAACAGCUUGUCAUUCCUUUUUUUACACCAUUACGUGGCUAGAAUUAACUGGCCACCGCCUAAGAGGCUAAGACUAGUACAAGUGAAAAAAAUAAUUCAUUCGCUCCAACUUAAAAUCUUUAAUUUUAGAAAAAAUCAUCCAACUUAAAAUCUUUAAUUAAAAUUGAAAAAAUUCAUUCAUUCAUCACAUCGGUCACUCUCUAUAUAAAAAUAUCUAAAGCCUUUAGUUGAAUGAAGUAACAUUAAUAUUUUUGUAACAAUAAAUAUUACCGCUAAAAGAAAAAUUUAUUGCUACUAUCUUUUGUCAUAGCAUAUGCAGUUGAUGAGAUUUGAGUGCUCUAGUUUAGUACGAAUUAAGGUGUUCCACUGAAGUAUAGUUUAUAAUAAUCAUAUGGAUCGUACCAAAUACACACUUGACCUAAUUGAGAUAAAAUCAAAGGAUGACACGAUUGCAGAAGCUUGUCAAGGGUCAAAUUAUAUGUGCACACCACCAAUAAUAAGAAGGCUAAAGGUCACGCAUGGGUCAAAUUAAAUGAUCAAUCACUUCAUUACUUUUAUACUCAAUAGAGAUGUCAAGUACAUUCUUUUUUUUUCCUACUUCCCCUUCAUGUGGUUUAGUGUAACGCACAUUAUAUAGCGCCAAGCAAAAUAAUUGAACAAAAAGCUUGUGUCAAAUGUUGUCUAAUCCUAAAGGACCCCCUUAUCCUUCUGCAUCAGUACUAGCUACAAGACGAAUACUAAAGGAUAUAUAGGACUUUAUUAUAAGGAGAGAUGUCAACAUUCUCAAAAGCAAAAAUUAACAAUACAAGAUUUUUUUAUGUGCUUCUAGAGAUACCUAACGUUGAUGAUGUCUUCAUCACUUGUUCAUUAUCUCUUUCUUUCCGAGACGGAACUAGAGUUCUAGUUACGAAUUCGAUAAAAUAUCUACAUGUGUUAAAGAGAUUCACUUAAUAUGUAUAAAUUGAUUCAAAACUGAUAAAUUUAAAAUUUUGAGUAUGAUUUAUCAUGUUUACAAGUGUCAUUUUGUAUUACUUAUUACUCUAGUACUAUUGCAGACAUUGAUGUCAAUAUUCGGUUGGCAUCUUUUAGCCUACAACAUAGCCUGUCAAAUGGGCAGCUUUAACAUAAUUCUUAGUAACAUUAAUAUGCUAAAAUUAAGUAUUGUUCUAAGUCCCAUCACUAAUUAUUGGUAUCUUAUGAUAAUCUGUUUCUCAAUAUUGUUCUAAUAGUAUAGCUAUUUGAGUGGAAACUAUUAUUACUUUGUUAAGAAUAGAAAGGAGAGGUGGAAUUUAAAAAUAUAUAGAUAAAGAAAUAAGGGGGGAAUCCUUUCUUUUGAUUCUAGCAUGUGCUCGUUUAUUUGUCAAACAACAAUAAUUUUAGCUGAUAAUUAUUGUGAGAAUAUAACAACAUAUAAUCGGUCUGAAGAGAAUAGUUUGUAUUCAGAUCUUACACCUAUGAUCUUGUGAAGAUAAAAGAGGUUGUUUAUGAUGGAUUCUCAAAUCAAGUAAAGAAUUCCAAAACAUGUAUGAAAAGGGAAUAGUAAUAGUGAAGAAGUAAUGAUAAAAGUAAUGGUGAAAAGAAUACUGAUAAUGAAAUUUAGACAACGUUAGACUACCUAGUAACCUUCUAUCAUAAUCUUUGACCUACAUACUCUUAUCUAGGGUCACAUACUUAAUUAGUAAAGUUACAAGUAUGUCAUGUAAUGCCUAAUCACCUCUCCUCAAUAUUAUUAUGAAAAUAUACAUCACUUAAUCAUUGUAAAACCCCAAAUGUGAGAAUACAAAAUAUGUCUCGCAAUUAUUGAUUUAAUUAGUGUAAAUAUCAAAUACGAAUAAAUAUCGUAAUUACCUGUUUAUUAAUUGUUUUCAUUACUUGCAUUGUUCUGCAUCAAAACUGCACUCCUAUACAAUAGAGAGUAUCAAAUUUCAUGCUUUUAAGAAUUAUUUUAUCUCCUACAUACUUGGCAAUUGGAAUGAACAAAGAAAGCCAAUACAUGAAGAAAAAAUAUUGCUAAGAAAUCUUGGUCAACAUUUUCCAUUUUUUUUUUAAAAGUAAAAAAUUGGGGUAGGGGUAAGGAAAAAAGGGGAAAGAGGAUCAAAAUAGGACUUUCGGGAGUGAAAAUUCCUAAUAGCAAAUCAAUUGAACGACUAAGAUAUUCCGAUUAUUUCAUAAACAUAUAAAAAAAAUUUGAAACAUCUAAAUGGAACCCUCUCCCGGAGCAAACUCAAGCACUUGCUAUUCUUCGUGGCCCAACCCAAAAGUAUAUAUUUUUUUCCAAAAAGAAAAAAGUAUCAUGUGCAUUGUAUAUUUGACUUAAUUAUGCGUAAUUGACAAACUAAUGUUAAUGUCUCAUGUUUGUAUUGUUUCGAAAAUACUUUUUUUCUAUGUUGAUUUUGCACAAAUAUCUUAUACCAAAAAUAUUAUUAAAUCCUAGACGUCAAAAUAAUCAUAAUAAAGAAUAUUGAAAUGUGUAUAGAGUAGGUAGCAUAGGAAUUGAGUGAGAAUCAUGAGAAUUGAUAUUCUUUACAAGCCAUAUCUACCCAUGAGAUAUCGCCGUACUGAUGGGCCUUAAGGGUCACUGUGGGCCGGAUACUGCUCUAUGCCUCUAUGGUCAUUUCACUUGGGCUAUUCUAGAGGUGGCAAUUGGAGUGGGUUGGGUCAAAUUUGAACGGGUCAUAAUGGGUUAAGAUAAUAAAUGAAUCAAAGUUUGAUUUUACCCAAACUUAAAGUGGUUUGGAUUGAUUUGGCAGGUUGAAUUUGAUUUUUCCACAUUUCAUGUGAACAUUCUUCUACAUUUCGCAUAACGUAAUCCAUGUAUCUUGAUACCAAACACAUUUUGAAAUACAAAUACAUCGGGAAAAAGGCGAGCGAAAGAGUCAUGAGAUUCUCAGAUACAUGCAAAUCACACUUAGAGAGUGUAUAUGAAAUAAACUACACCUAAUUUGAUCCAUAUUUAUCUGAGAUACACGUAUCAUUUUUUUCAACUUUAACUACAAAAUAAUUUAACUUUUUUAAAACGUCAACUUCUAUCCUCUUUCUUUUUUUGUUUCAACUUCAACUAAAUAUUGUUCAAAGGUCAAAUAAUAUUUUAUAUAGCUUAAAAUAUAAAAGGAGUAAGGAUAAAAUAGUAGGAGUACGGGGAAAUCCCCAAAAAGCUGGAGUGAACAAUAUAAAUGGGCCAGGGGCCUGUUGUUCUCAGUUGGACUAUUAGGUUUACUUACUUAAGGACAUACUUUUACUUCAUUUAGCAAACUUCUUAAAAGCCCAAAUAUGGGCCUGAUCCCUCUUUACUUUUCUAGAAUGAUUACCCAAUCUACAUUAUCAUCACUACUUUUCCCUCUAUUAGCAACAACAAACUUUUUUUUUGCUUGAUAGAAAGUGAAGAAUUUAAAAUACACACAAUGUCACUGUUAAAAAAUUAUGUCUCAAUUUAUAUGAAUUAGUUUGACUUGCGGUCAGGGAUGGAGCCAGUCUUCUGUUAGGGGUUCAUUCGGCGGAAAAUAUUACUAUUUAUAUAUGGUUUAAAUUAUUUUUUAUGUAUAUAUAUAGUAGAUGUUGAACCCCUUUCAAUUAGUUCGUGUGUUUAGUUCUUCAGAUUUUGAAUCCCCUUAAAUAAAAUCCUAGCUCCACCACUGCUUGCGACAUAGAAUUUAAAAAAAAAAAAAAACUUUUGAAUUUUGUGGUCUAAAAUAUGUCAUAGAUGUUUGUGUGGCUAUAAAUCAUUUCAUUAAAAGUAAAAUAAACGUUUUAAAAUUAAAUUGUUACAAAAUAUAAAAGUGUCAUUUUUUUUACAACGGACUAAAAAGAAAUGUGAGUCAUAUAAAUGGGGACAGAAAAUUUAUCGUAGAUAUUUUGAUUGAAUUUGUAAGAAAAGAUAAAAUAGUAUUUUUUUCACUAGAGAAACUAUUUCCUACCAUACGUUUUUCGGUGAGCUGGUUCGGUGAAAAAAUUAUAUUUUAGAACAUAAAUUUUCAAUUGAUUCAUGAUGAGAAUAACCUUUAUUUCUAUUAGUAUUUGUAAUAGGAUUAUGAAAUUUGUUUCACUAGUCAAAUAAUAUAUUCACAUGUAAAGACAAAAAAAACUACACUGUAUAAGAACCCGUUUGGAUUGGCCUAAAAGUCUGUCAAACCUACUUUUAAGUCAGUUUUUAAUUUCUGAAAGUGUUUGGAAAAUAUAAAAAAUAACUUAAAAUAAGUCAAAAAUGACUUAAAAUAAAUUAUGAAGUAUUUGGCAAAGUAAAAAAUGACUUAAAAUAACUCAGAAACCAAAAGUAGGUCUCCCCCUUACUUUUUUAUUUUUUGACUUAAAUAUCAUUUCAAUUUGACUUUUUUAUUUUUGAUUUAAAAGCUAUUUUUUUAAGUCAUUUCAAACGGGCUCUAAAUCUAAAGGAAAGAAGACAAAAAAAAUUCCGUGUCUCCUUUUUGUUGCAGAGAAUGAAGCCUGGAGUUCCACACACUCCUCUUUUUAAUAUCGUAAAACGACAAAACAAUUUAAGGAAUGUCCUAAUCAUUGCGUCUUUUUUUUUAAUCCCUAAUUCAAAAAAACAUAUAACUAAUUACUCCAUAUCUCUUUAACAUGAGUAUCGGUUUACCCACAUGGGUGUCCAAUCUAGUCUAGACAGUGGCGGAGCCAGAAUUUCUAAUUAAGAGUUUAGAAUCUGAAAAAAUAGACACAAAAUAGUUAAAAGAGCUUCGACAUCUACUAUAUAUACUUAAAAAUUAUUUUAAUCAUGCAUAUAUAAUAUAAUCUUCGGUCAAAGGAGGUUCAAAAAUGACCCCCGAACUAUAAGGUGUCUCCGCCACUAAGUCUAAGGUAGUAAUUAUGAUAUGCUUAAAAAAUAUAUUUUCAUACAAAAUAUUUUUGUUUCGUACCAAAUACACGCUGAUAGUUGUAAAGUUACAGCUUCAUUCAGGACAAAGUGUUUGAUUCAAAUGAUAUCUGCAUUUCUGGAUCAUAAUCAUAUUUACUCUGAGUUUUAAUCUAUGCAUGAAUAUGUAAAUAAAGUUUUACAAUUAAACCAUUUAUAAAAUGUUUACUAAAUCUCCUGAUAUACAUUAUAAAAAUAAUAACAACAAUAACAUGGCAGAAGCACUAGGAAGCCUUGCUAAGUUUGGAGGGAAAGUUUGUAACUAAGUUUAAUUUAUUUAUUUUGGUAGUAGAUAGUUAUAAAUAUUGGGAUUCUUAAGGUGUAAAUAAAUGAGAAAAAAGACAUAUUUUGAAUUGCACCUCUUUAUCUAACUCUUUCAUUGUUUAUAAAUUCAAAAAUCUCUUACCUCAUAUUAAGGGUCUUUUUUUUUUUUUUGACUUACUGUUGCAAACACAGUUUGAUAACAAGAUCAUGGUAUGUAAUAUAUUUUAUUUUUGAGUUAAUCUUAUAUUCUGUCUGUAGAAGACUAAAAAAUCCCAGUUAUUUCUACUCCUUUUAAAUAAAAUAAAAACUAAAAUCCUUGUAAUUUCUACUCUUUUUGUAACUCAAUUUGAAGAUAUAAAAACCUAACCAUUUUAUUAAAUUUAUUUUAAAAAAAACAUAAAAACAAAAACAAGAAUUAUUUUAUCUCAUAUCAACUAUUUUUGUUAUUUUCACUUCACAAUACAACACCACUCAAGGCACAACUUUAUUUUCAUAUAAAAAAAAUGCUAGUUUUAGCUAAAAAAGUAGAAAAUAAAUAGUUCUAGAAGAAGAAUGAGAAGUGAUUGAAACUGACCUUAAAUCAUGCCCUAAUAAUAUUCCAUCUUCAUUUCUUUCAUAUUUUGUACAAUUUCUAGCUGAUAAAAAAAAAAAAAGUCAUUAACAAGUACUUACCACUUAUUACAUAUUAUAUAUGAUGAUUUUGAGAGGAAAAAAAAUGAAAACAUUUAAUUAGCAUAAUGAGAUUCCAUAUUCUUAUUCUUUCAAAUUCAAAAACCUCUACCUUAUAGCUUUGCUUGAGCCGUUAGCCAUCGAGAAUCGAGUAGAUAGGCCAUAAUACCUUAGGGUUCGAACAAAAUCACUCAUUCUUCUAUUAUAAAUAGAUGCACGACACCUUCAAACCAGGGCCGAUUUUAAAGAGUAGAGAAAUCGACACGUGUCUAAUGUCCCAAAAUUUAAAGAGGACCAUUAAAAAAAAUACUCAUAUAUUUAGGUGGUACCAAUGAAAUACAGUUAAAGUAAGAAAC